GGAAUUGACGGGGGCCCGCACAAGCGGUGGAGCAUGUGGUUUAAUUCGAUGAUACGCGAGGAACCUUACCUGGGCUCAAAUGUAUGUUGACGUAUUCUGAAAGGGAUACUUCUUCGGACAAUAUACAAGGUGCUGCAUGGUUGUCGUCAGCUCGUGCCGUGAGGUGUCGGGUUAAGUCCCAUAACGAGCGCAACCCCUAUCAUUAGUUGCCAUCAGGUCAAGCUGGGGACUCUAAUGAAACUGCCUACGCAAGUAGUGAGGAAGGUGGGGAUGACGUCAAAUCAGCACGGCCCUUACGUCCAGGGCUACACACGUGCUACAAUGGGUGGUACAAAGGGCAGCUACCUGGCGACAGGAUGCUAAUCUCGAAAACCGCUCUCAGUUCGGAUCGGAGUCUGCAACUCGACUCCGUGAAGCUGGAUUCGCUAGUAAUCGCGCAUCAGCCACGGCGCGGUGAAUACGUUCCCGGGCCUU
rnacentral:rRNA from 1 species